rnacentral:tRNA from 1 species
GGGUUGGUAGCUCAGACCGGCAGAGCGCUCCCCUGAAGAGGGAGAAGUCGGGGGUUCAAAUCCCCCCCGACCCA